AUCGCUUCUCGGCCUUUUGGCUAAGAUCAAGUGUAGUACCUAUUAAUAAUCUUUCUACAAGCCCUGGAUUACUGCCGUGAACUUAUUUCAAAUGGCAAAUAUUUGACACCUUCAUAUAUCUGGCAUGUGUCUAAGUGUUUUAUU